ACAGCAAUCGCUCUUUUGGAAG
rnacentral:miRNA from 1 species